CAACCCUCGAACCCCUCCGGGGGGUCGGCGUUGGGGAUCGGCCCUCCCUCGCGGGGGCCGUCCCCGAAAUACAGUGGCGGUCUUGCCGCAGCCUCUCCUGCGCAGUAGCUUGCACACUCGCACCGGGGAGCGCGGCGGGUCCACAGCCGUUAAACACCCAACUUCCUGAAA
rnacentral:misc_RNA from 1 species